GAUUCCAUCUCGACUUUGUCAAGACGCGAUUUCAACUGCCUAACUUCUUGUUUAAGAGAAUUUAUCUCUUGACGUAAGUCAGAUAUAGAGGGCUCAGCAGAUUUAUCGAACCUAUUGAACACUUGUUUCAUACUAAUAGGUUCGAUGGCCUUAGACGAAGAAGGUUUCUUUUGAUCAGAACCCAGAAUAAUUUUCUUGAG
rnacentral:lncRNA from 1 species